UACGUAGGGGGCUAGCGUUGUCCGGAUUUAUUGGGCGUAAAGAGCGUGUAGGCGGCCAGAUAGGUCUGCUGUGAAAACUCGAGGCUCAACCUCGAGAUGUCGGCGGAAACCAUUUGGCUAGAGUCCGGAAGAGGAAAGUGGAAUUCCUGGUGUAGCGGUGAAAUGCGCAGAUAUCAGGAAGAACACCCGUGGCGAAGGCGGCUUGCUGGACCUGGUCUGACGCUGAGGCGCGAAAGCGUGGGGAGCGAACAGG
rnacentral:rRNA from 1 species